rnacentral:rRNA from 1 species
AUUGAACGCUGGCGGCAGGCCUAACACAUGCAAGUCGAGCGAGCGGCGGACGGGUGAGUAAUGUCUGGGAAACUGCCUGAUGGAGGGGGAUAACUACUGGAAACGGUCGCUAAUACCGCAUACCAUCAGAUGGGCCCAGAUGGGAUACGCUAGGAGGUGGGGGAACGGCUCACCGAGGCGACGAUCCCUAGCUGGUCUGAGCGGAUGACCAGCCACACUGGAACGGAGACACGGGCCAGACGCGUACGCGGGGCAGCAGUGGGGAAUAUUGCACAAGGGGCGCAGGCCUGAUGCAGCCACGCCGCGUGUGGGAAGAAGGCCGUCGGGUUGUAAAGCACUGUCAGCGGGGAGGCGUUACCCGCAGAAGAAGCACCGGCUAACUCCGUGCCAGCAGCCGCGGUAAUAC